rnacentral:tRNA from 1 species
GGAGGAUUAGCUCAGCUGGGAGAGCAUCUGCCUUACAAGCAGAGGGUCGGCGGUUCGAUCCCGUCAUCCUCCNGCA